CCUACGGGAGGCUGCAGUGAGGAAUAUUCGUCAAUGGACGAGAGUCUGAACCAGCCAAGUAGCGUGAAGGAUGACUGCCCUCUGGGUUGUAAACUUCUUUUAUAUGGGAAUAAAAUGUUCCACGUGUGGGAUUUUGUAUGUACCAUAUGAAUAAGGAUCGGCCAACUACGUGCCAGCAGCCGCGGUAAUACGGGGGAUCCGAGCGUUAUCCGGAUUUAUUGGGUUUAAAGGGAGCGUAGGUGGAUUGUUAAGUCAGUUGUGAAAGUUUGCGGCUCAACCGUAAAAUUGCAGUUGAAACUAGCAGUCUAGAGUACAGUAGAGGUGGGCGGAAUUCGAGGUGUAGCGGUGAAAUGCUUAGAUAUCACGAAGAACACCGAUUGCGAAGGCAGCUCACUGGACUGCAACUGACACUGAGGCUCGAAAGUGUGGGUAUCAAACAGGAUUAGAUACCCUUGUAGUC
rnacentral:rRNA from 1 species